AUAAAAUACAAAGCCAGGCUUGCUUCUGCAUGUUUUUAUUUCACUGAGGCGGAGGCAGAAGGGUUAAUACAAUUUCAAGGCCACCCAACCAGAGAUACAUAGUGAGCUAUUACUAUCUCAAGGAAAACAAAAUAGUAAUGAAAUAGAAUUACAUAACAAGUCAAAAGAAUUCAGCCUUGAAUUAGUGUGGAGAACCUACUUUUAAAAAAUCAGUGUGGAGGACAUACUUUUAAAAAAUUCUGUCUAAGCCAACCAUACUACAAAUGCCUAUAAUCCUAACACUUAGGAGAGCAGAGUUAGGAGAACCAAAAGUUAGAGGCCGCUGGGACUUCAUACAUAGGUUGGUCUGAGUUACAUAGUGACACUAAAGAAAAACUUCAUAUUCAGCCAGACUUGUUGGCUCUUGCCUUUAAUCCCAGGAGAGGCAGAAGUGGGUGAAUCUGAGGUCAGUCUGGUCUACAGAGCUAUCUCCAGGACAGCCAGAUUACACAGAGAAACCCUGUCUGAGAAAAAAAGGAAAGAAAAGCUGGUUUCCCAAAUGUAGAAGCAAUGCUACUAAGAUACUACAUUGCAGAGUGCACAGUUUUAAUUGGUUUUCUCUGAGGAUCACUUUUGAGCCACUGAUGGAGUGUGCCUUGAGAAGAAAUGUGUCAUUUGAAAUCAGGACCGUCCAGCAAGGAUAACAACCUGGUCGCAUGAUUUCGUGACUGAUGCUGAAGUGGAAGCCAGCCAGUUCAGACGUUUGGGGGAAAUGACAUCUGAAGAAUGCAAGGGGAAGUAGGAAUUCAUGUCUAGCAUUCCCAAACCUGCCUUGUCCUGCCUUCCACACUCCAGUGAGGAAAAGACCAGAGUUGGUGGAAUUUUCCAGCUAAGACUUACAGCUGUGUUUGAUGUUCUUAGGAAAGGUACCAAGAAGUAUUCUUCUAGAAACAGUAGUCUGCAGAAGAGAAGAA
rnacentral:lncRNA from 1 species